rnacentral:rRNA from 1 species
UGGGGAAUUUUGGACAAUGGGCGCAAGCCUGAUCCAGCCAUGCCGCGUGCAGGAUGAAGGCCUUCGGGUUGUAAACUGCUUUUGUACGGAACGUAAAGGUGCCUUCUAAUAAAGGGCGCUCAUGACGGUACCGUAAGAAUAAGCACCGGCUAACUACGUGCCAGCAGCCGCGGUAAUACGUAGGGUGCGAGCGUUAAUCGGAAUUACUGGGCGUAAAGCGUGCGCAGGCGGUUUUGUAAGACAGAGGUGAAAUCCCCGGGCUCAACCUGGGAACUGCCUUUGUGACUGCAAGGCUGGAGUGCGGCAGAGGGGGAUGGAAUUCCGCGUGUAGCAGUGAAAUGCGUGGAUAUGCGGAGGAACACCGACGGCGAAGGCAAUCCCCUGGGCCUGCACUGACGCUCAUGCACGAAAGCGUGGGGAGCAAACA